rnacentral:misc_RNA from 1 species
UAGAGGAAGUAAAAGUCGUAACAAGGUCUCCGUAGGUGAACCUGCGGAGGGAUCAUUACCGAGCUCAUGCCCUUCCGGGUAGAUCUCCCACCCUAUGUUAUUAUUACCUUUGUUGCUUUGGCGGGCCGCCAGGCUCCGGUCAGGCUAUCGGCUUCGGCUGGUAAGCGCCCGCCAGAGGACCCAAUAUCCUGAUUAUUAGUGUCGUCUGAGUACUAUAUAAUAGUUAAAACUUUCAACAACGGAUCUCUUGGUUCUGGCAUCGAUGAAGAACGCAGCGAAAUGCGAUAAGUAAUGUGAAUUGCAGAAUUCAGUGAAUCAUCGAAUCUUUGAACGCACAUUGCGCCCCUUGGUAUUCCGAGGGGCAUGCCUGUUCGAGCGUCAUUACAACCCUCAAGCAUUGCUUGGUGUGGGGUGGGGGGGUCAGAUAAAUAAAAGGAGGGUGGGGGUGGGGGGGGGGGGGGGUUAAUAUCCAUAAGAGGGGGG